CUACUCGUAGUAGGAGUCGUACUUUGAAAGAGUGCCAAGAACCAAAACGAGAAGACAAGGGCAGCUUCUCUCUGCAAAAUAAUUCUUGUUUGAAAUGUCUCUGCGCUGUGCAUUGAUACUUCAUUCGAUCCUCCUACAUCCUGUCCUAUCAACUCUUUGCCACUAAAGAUGUAAUGGCGUGGUUGUUAUACUACAAAAUGUAGAAUUCUGUGUGGACGUGGCCGUAGACCACAUGCCGGUAUCAUGAGCAGCAGGAACUCCACAGGACUACUGCCACUGGUGUGGCCGGAAGGAUGCAAUGAAAAGCAAGCGAUAGAAAAAGGAGAGAAAGAAGGAGAGAGAGACAGAGAAAGAGGCAUGUAAUUACCCGAUGGUUGAACGUGUUUCACAACAGCACCAUGCCACCGUCUGUGUCAGCCGCCUUGCGUCUCAAGAAGAAGACUUUCACAAUGCAGUACCAGCGUCACAUGCAAGUUGGAGGCAAUGUGACGGCUACUCUUCAGGUAUGCACCUGUCCACUAUUUGGCGUAUUAUGAAGUGAAGCACAGUGGCUGCAGUUGCUUGCCGGAAAGUGGACAAGCUAACACCGCCCAUUCUGCUACAUGAUGUAGAGACUGCUGAUGUUUCCCAUGGCACCGGUCAUAGCUACCAGAUGCAGCAAUGGUGAUGUACCAGUACGAAAGGCGGCAUUUGGAGUCGUCUCGGUUUGUCACGUGUUCCAGCUAUCCGUGGCAUCUCAACGUGUACCUGCUGUAGUGGCUAAGCAAGUGUCAUACAUGACUGUAUGUGUUUCUGGCACUUUCUGCAUUCUACUGCCUUGCCGGCAUGCCGCCAGGGCCUAGGGCCUAGGGGUUAACGGGUGUUAGCGGCCAUCGUGAGUUCCCUUCCGGAACGGACACAAUCAUUUAUUCUGACUUUCCUUACUGCCUUGUAUGUGUACACUCGUAUGGUCUGAGCUGGUCAUGUACUGGCCAUACGGAAAACACGUCUGCAUGAGAUUGGAGUUGAUCAGCUGGAUGAGCUUUUAGGCUCCACGCAUGUACUCGUACAGGGGCAGCUCUGCUGCUGUUGAACAUUCAUCUAGAGCAGCAAGAGUGAUACUGUCUUAUUUGUGAAUGCAUGACCAAUCCUGCAGCAAUCUCUCCUCCACUUCUCCUCCAUGCACUCUCACCCGACUACCCUUAGUAACCAUUUUACAAACACACACACACACACACGCAUGCACACACGCACGCACACACACACUAGGGGUGAAACGGUUCCAUGUUUUUUCAUAUUCGGGUACCCUAAUGCCAGCAUAGUUUCCCACGGCUCGGGUAUCGGUUCCAUGCACUCUCUUCUCCACACCGGCAAAAUGUGUUUGUGACAAUUAUUUUUUAGAAAACAUGUUUACAAGUAAGAAUGAGACAUUGGAGAGUCCAUGUGGGAAGAAGAGCACGAGAUUUUUCGAGGUUCGGUCCGAAAUUUCACAGAACGGGUACCCGAUUCUUUUCAGCUGGCGGUUCCAAAACCGGUUCCUUACCCAAACCGUUUCACCCUUAACACACAUACACACACACACACACAUGCGUGCGCGCACACACACACACGCACACACACACACACCACACACACAUACACACACACCACACCACACACGCAUGCACGCACACACACACACACACACACACACACACACACACACACCCGGCAAUAAUUCAACGAAGGGGUUGCAGAUACUUCAAGAGAGAAAGAGAGAUUGUUGCAGUAUUGAACAGCCGAAUGGUGCCGUUCACAACUUUAGUGAUGACCAAUCCUGAUAAUUGAUAUUAUAUCAGACAUACACUGGAGUCUUUCUGACAUUGCCACUCGCACUUGACAAUAGAAGCAGCUUUCCAUAUGUGCAAUUACAUUGAGCCAUGGCGUUUGUUUGUUUUUGUGAAUCAGGCC